GACGAACCGUGCGAACGUUGUUCGGAAUCACUGGGCUUAAAGGGCGCGUAGGCGGGCUUUCAAGUUUGGGGUGAAAUCCUCGGGGUCAACCGGAGAACUGCCUCGGAUACUGAAGGUCUCGAGGGGGAUAGGGGCAUGCGGAACUACGGGUGGAGCGGUGAAAUGCGUUGAUAUCCGUAGGAACUCCAGUGGCGAAGGCGACGCGCUGGAUCAUUUCUGACGCUGAGACGCGAAAGCGUGGGGAGCAAACAGG
rnacentral:rRNA from 1 species